GCUGAAGUCAGUCGAAGAUACCAGCUGGCUGCAACUGUUUAUUAAAAACACAGCACUGUGCAAACACGAAAGUGGACGUAUACGGUGUGACGCCUGCCCGGUGCCGGAAGGUUAAUUGAUGGGGUCAGCGCAAGCGAAGCUCCUGAUCGAAGCCCCGGUAAACGGCGGCCGUAACUAUAACGGUCCUAAGGUAGCGAAAUUCCUUGUCGGGUAAGUUCCGACCUGCACGAAUGGCGUAAUGAUGGCCAGGCUGUCUCCACCCGAGACUCAGUGAAAUUGAACUCGCUGUGAAGAUGCAGUGUACCCGCGGCAAGACGGAAAGACCCCGUGAACCUUUACUAUAGCUUGACACUGAACAUUGAGCCUUGAUGUGUAGGAUAGGUGGGAGGCUUUGAAGUGUGGACGCCAGUCUGCAUGGAGCCGACCUUGAAAUACCACCCUUUAAUGUUUGAUGUUCUAACGUGGACCCGUUACCCGGGUUGCGGACAGUGUCUGGUGGGUAGUUUGACUGGGGCGGUCUCCUCCUAAAGAGUAACGGAGGAGCACGAAGGUUGGCUAAUCCUGGUCGGACAUCAGGAGGUUAGUGCAAUGGCAUAAGCCAGCUUGACUGCGAGCGUGACGGCGCGAGCAGGUGCGAAAGCAGGUCAUAGUGAUCCGGUGGUUCUGAAUGGAAGGGCCAUCGCUCAACGGAUAAAAGGUACUCCGGGGAUAACAGGCUGAUACCGCCCAAGAGUUCAUAUCGACGGCGGUGUUUGGCACCUCGAUGUCGGCUCAUCACAUCCUGGGGCUGAAGUAGGUCCCAAGGGUAUGGCUGUUCGCCAUUUAAAGUGGUACGCGAGCUGGGUUUAGAACGUCGUGAGACAGUUCGGUCCCUAUCUGCCGUGGGCGCUGGAGAACUGAGGGGGGCUGCUCCUAGUACGAGAGGACCGGAGUGGACGCAUCACUGGUGUUCGGGUUGUCAUGCCAAUGGCACUGCCCGGUAGCUAAAUGCGGAAGAGAUAAGUGCUGAAAGCAUCUAAGCACGAAACUUGCCCCGAGAUGAGUUCUCCCUGAGACUUUAGGUCUCCUGAAGGAACGUUGAAGACGACGACGUUGAUAGGCCGGGUGUGUAAGCGCAGCGAUGCGUUGAGCUAACCGGUACUAAUGAACCGUGAGGCUUAACCUUACAACGCCG
rnacentral:rRNA from 2 species